CCCUUUUCUGAAGUUUCUAUCGAAUUAACGUCAUAAUGAUGAUGAAAUUGCAGAAACAGUUCAUAGAAGAGCUGAAAGAGGGAACAAUCCAUCUCAGGAGCCACGGGAUACUCCAGAGACUCACAGUGAUUGUAUUAAACCUAAUCAAUUCUCAUCGACAUUGGAAGCACUUACUGAUAUAGGCUUUCUGACUCCACCAUCGGGUUGUCUCUUAGGUGUGGCUUCUUCAGCUUCUCUAAACUUAAGGGGCUGUCCAAAAAUUUCACUAGUUCAAUCUCAACAAGAAAGCGGCCUCCUCUCAUCACCUGGCUACUUUAAUUGGCGCCAUUCACCUUGUAAUUUCAUUCCAAAAUUAUAUGGAAGUGAACUUGGUUCUGACAGCUUUCUCUGUAACAACUUGGAGGAUAGUAUGCCUGAAACGCUCAAGAACACUUGUACCCCAGUCCCCAGGUACACAGGCGGUGAAAUCUUUCUCACUUAAUCAGAAACGGGCGUCUCCAAAAAUCUAUUUCACGUGAGUUAAGAUCAAGCUCGUCAGGGGGGUUGAGAAGUGGAAGCAAAUUCAUUCUGCAGGAUUUUCCUUCUUUCCCUCCUCUUACUCCAUAUUUUAAGUCACAGGCUGGAAUUCAUCAAAAUGAUGGCGAUCAUAAUGGUAGCACUGGCUACCAGUGAUGGAAUAUGCGAAUUGGAGAUAUAUUCCAAGAAACUGCUCACAAGCUCAGCCCUUGUGCCCAAGAAAUCAGGGAAGAUGGUGCUAGACUUUAACCCUUUUUUACCCUUGUUUGGAUAGGUAAUAAAUUUUGGAGAGUGCAAGUAAUUACCGUCGUGACUUAAUUCUACGGCUCCAGGCAUUUUUAAACUCUCGUUGAUCACUCUGUGGUCAUCUGCGCAUAGAAAUCUAUUGGUACUUUUGCAGGUUGAUAAUCUCUUUUUGAGCAUGUGUAUAAAUAGAUGAAUUCGGUGCU